CACACGCACUUCCGCUGCAGACAGAAACAUCCACCCACACUCCGGAAAUUGCGUGCUGGUGGAUGUCUGGAGCGCGAGUUGCACAUUAUUCAACAGCGCCCCCUCGGGUCACACUUUUCGGUGGGUCGCAGAAUUCGGUGUAACAACGGGACUCACUGCACGAAGAUGUGACACGUUCGGCUCUGCUGCACUUGGAGGUUAUGGGGAAGAGCAUAUUUGUGGCUGAUCUCAAUGCUGUUCCGACUUGGCGAUAUCCAACAGCAUGUGACCCACUUUCAAGUUUACCUGAUGAUGUUUACUUCAGAGACGCUGUUGUAAUUCCUGUUUGGAAACCUGGACAUUUCUUGUUAUCUAAACCUUUGUCAGUCUCUCAGCCCUGGGCCAUGGAAAGAGACGACUGGUUUGGACAUCGAGGGCUUUCCACGGCAAAAGUAUGGUAUCGACUGUGGCAUCUUCAUGUUGAUGGUAGG